GCCACUUUCACUCUUCACGUGGAGCUGAGUCAAGUCCCUGCUGCCUUCACUGCCAUUGAAGACCAAAAGCCACCUGGUGGUGGAGAGCUCAAAUCUCUCCUGUCACUUUGUAAAUGUAAUUCUUAGUCCUGCUGGAAGACCUUGACAGGUGGAGAACUUUUCUUCCUCUUUGUGCCAAUGCAUAUACUCAUGUGACCAUCACUACAAUGGAGAUACCCAUCAACAAAAACAACAGAAAGACCACAUCACUGACUCCAUCUCCUACAUCUAUCUGAGCAGGACUUCUCUCACUUAUUUUUGUACCUUGGGGGUCAUCACUGUCCUCAGAACAUGGACCAUGAGGAAACCAGCCAAAGAGGCGAGGUAAAAAUGGGAAGAAUAUGACUUCUUGAUUAUGUCUACAAGCCGGCAAAUUAAUUCCACCUGCACUUGC